CAAAGAACGAACGAACAGAGCGGAGCGGCGGAGCGACGGUGCCAGUUGAGGAGGAACGAACGGAGGGGGUGCAGAGGCACGGCGGGUCUCGGUCUUCGUAAGGGAGUUUGUGGAGCACCCGCGGAGACUGGGGCGGAGGGAGGUACCGGCGCGGGAUCUCUGGAUCUGACAGCGCCGGCGAAGCCACGAGGCCGAGGUGGGUACGGCGUCACGGCGGAGGAGGACCGACGGCACCGGGAAAACCCCCGACACCGCCGCCGGCACCGCGUCGUCGGCGAGCGCAGCGGCAGCCUGGACCGCCCCGACAUGUCGGACGCCCGCAGCGACCCAAACGCCCGCGCCCUCACCGGGCGCUCCCGGCUGGGCACGUGCCGGACCCGCCCCCAGUACACGGCGCGGCCGGCGCAGCACCCGCAGUCGCAGCGCCCCAAGGCGGCGUGGGCGGAGCGCUCGGCGCGCGGCCGCAAGCGCCAGCUGCCCGACGCCUUGGAGUGUCGCGAGCUCGAGAAGUUGCGGAGGCCAAAGGGCGAGGGGCCGCUCCACGGGCGCACCAAGUCGGCGCUGGAGGGCGUCGGCGAGCGGCACGAGCUGGAGGCGAUGCGGCGUCAGUUACCGUGCGAGGGCGGGCUAGAGCCGAGUAGCCCCUUAGACUGAUCCGACGAGGAGAGGCCCUUGUCGGAGAGCCCGGUCCAAGGCCUCUGCGACGAGAGGCAGUUUCCGGAAGCGCAAGAACUGGAGAGGUGGUUGUUAAAGUGGCCCCUCGAUGGGUCGCAGAGCCAGCCGCGGCCACUACAUCGCCGCAGCAACAAAUUGUAAAGUCCCUUAAGAGACAUACCACACCGGUGACUACGGUAACCCCGUGAGUUCUGCUCUAAGGCCGACCACCUGCACAGUUCGUUGAUGGAGCUACCUUUAACCUUACCUAGGCUACGUUGCCACCUACAAUCGCACUUAACGAAGAGACCACAGAGGCCAGUCGCGGCGGUACAACUAACACUUCUGAAGAUAUCCUCCCUUCCCCACUCUGAACAACUAUAAGGUCACGGACGUGGAAACGGAGUCGGUAGUGGCCUCUUCUCGGCACCCUAGAGGUUUUUACAUGAAUAACCCCAAGAACGUCGGCGCCGUCGUAACUACCAAUACAAAAACCAACGUAACGAAAAGACAAACUACUCCUCCUCUGUUUCUCCUCCACCCUCUCCCCGCCUUUGUUUACUCCUUCCACGUGCGCCGUACGCAUCCUCCCUGUCGUCGCAUUUAGGACACCGGAGUAGUGGCCGUCGUCACAGGGGCUCUCGGCUACGAUGAGGAUUCCUGCGCUAAUGGCAAAAACCACUCAACUGGAUACUCGUUAACCAGGUACGGUGGCCCCCGAAACCACUACUGUUGGAGGAGUUCGUACCCGUAAGCCCCCUAUAAAUGGUACCACACAACCUCUUACCGCGUGUACAGUAGCAGUUCUUCUAACCAUGUUUCUCAUAGUUGUUUCAAAGUUCGCUUAACCUGAAGAUAAGCUCCAUGAGUGUACUCUCCUAACAAGGCAACGAGCCGGUAGACCGGUUGUUACUGCUUCUUAAAGACAGGAUGUUCAUAUACGGUUUCCGCCUGAACUGGUUACGUAACGUGUUCUUUGGACACCUGUGACUUCUACCGAACGUGAGUAACCUAACCUAUUGAUCUGACUUCUAGCGGUGACCACAUCGACUCCGGUACACGAAGGAAGUACUGCUCACGUCGGGUGGUAAGCAAGUGUCUCUAUAGGUUCGUUCGUCACACGAAGAACUACUAUUUAAACUUCACGCUGAGCCUUCAUACUCAUUGUAUACGCGAGUCGUUUCACGUCCUUCGGUCUUACAAAAGAGAGCCUAGAACUCUAGUAGUUUCAGAGAACUGUUCUUGUGUAGUCCGGGUGGUCGUUGAACAAGUAUGCUACAAAUGACGAAACCCUUCCACUAGGAACUCGAUCAUUGUCCGUUAAAACCACAUUCACCUAGUUUGCUACGACCGAGGCUCCUCACCGACCGCUUGUGUUGUUUAGCGUAGUCGUAGUCACUGUUCCUAUCGUAAUGAUUAUAGUAGCUAGGAAAUGAACAGCAACUACUCCUGGUAGAACUUCUUCAUACCCGUCACCGCUAGCAGCGUUUCUGCACGGAUUUGAGUUUCGGCAGUUCCGCAGGGAGACGAGCGAUGCAGAACUUUCGGGACCUCUUAGGCGACUCCCACCAGGCUCGCCCAAGGGCCAGGUUGAGGCGUUCCGAGUCCUCGAGCAGUAGCGCCUCGAGUACCGUCAGAUGAAAAGAAGUCCCGUCAGCAAUGGUCUCGAUGCUCCAGUACAGCGGUAGUCCCGCUUACGAACUAGCGUCUCCGAGCCAAUCCAGUGUAUAAUCACCCCCUCUUCGAAGGAGCAGGAAGUUCUCUAGAAACGCCCUCUAACGAGGUCUGGGCGUUCACGACCUGCUCCUGCAGCGACACAUCUCUUUUCUCUUCUAAAAUAGGCCUCAAAGAAAGUCUGCGACCACUAAGAAGGAAUGGACACAUAUUAACAGUAGCCUACACGUACCGAAGCCAAGGAGUUCCAGUCUUCACACGUAUUUUCUCUCCGAUUCAACACCCAAAAGGAAGUAACCGUGUACCUCUACCAUGUACUACAAAAGUCUCACGUGUAUCUCGUUGUUGUAAGUCAUACUGUGUUAAUUAAAGAAAAGUGGUUUAGUGUAACUAAAACUGUAUUAGACAUGAUCAAUCAAACUAAUUAAACUCUGUGCUAACAAGACCCAGCUUCCAACUUUUUUAUUCAGUUAAACUUAAAUAUAAAUAAAAAUUUAAAUAUUUAAGUUUACACUGGCAAAUCGUCAACCGGUACGGUCAAACGGAACGGAACAAAAAGAGAGAGAGAGAGAGAGAGAGUUCUUUUCGUCAAUUGGGCGUUUGUCAAGUUUUUUCUUUCUUUCUUUUUUGGGUUUGUCCUAUCUCGAUUUGGAGCGAGGUGGAAGGUGAGCAGAGGUUACCGGUGGUGGUGAGAGGGUGCGAGAGUGUAGGCGGACGUAGAGGGCGAGGUGUGGCGGUUGGGAAGGAUGGGAGCGACGACGGCGGAGGAAGGGAGGAGGCGGUAGAGUAGCGCAGAGGUCUUGGGGCGGUGUUGGUGACGGUGGGUGAUAGGGUAGGAGGGCGGGCGAGGUAGGGGAAGGGAGGAGCAGCGGCUCCUCCGGAGGGAGCGGGGCGCGGCGUGGGUGGCCAAGGGCCCGAGACAGCGCGGGGGCACGUAGGUCCUGAGGGCCCUCCUGGAGCUGCAGGGCCGGCUGCUACUGCAGGACGCCGCACGCGAGCUCCACGCGGCGCGACACCGGUGGCUCCGCGAGCACCGGCGCGAGUCGCCGCCGUUCCGGCCCCCGGAGUGGAUGCAGUUGUUGGAGUGAAGUGCCUACCCGCGGAAGCAGCUGGCGUAGCAGCAGCCUCGGCGGCGGUACGCCGCGCUGGCGGGGCUCGAGCGCGUGGUCAGGAAGUUGCGCGCCCGUGCCUGGAUGUAGGUCCUUAGCCCGCACCAGCUCGACCAGUUCACCAAGUUCGUGUUGAGUAACUGUAUAGGGGUUUAGCGCUUUCAUCAAACGAGGACAAGACCACUAGACCUCUUUCACUCUUCCUACGAUUUCACCAACUCUAGUUAAAUACACUUUCCUCAUAAAAACCCUGCACACGAACGCUUCCCACUUAGGGAAUACUCAGCGUCAAAACUUCUUAACCUUCUCUAAUGACCGAUAGACCUUACGACACCACAAUCUUCUCUGACCUAACCAGUGCACCAGUCAUCUACAGGUGUCGAUAACUUAAACAGGAACCUACUCAAUCUCUGUGCUCACGCUAAAAUAUGUCUAUACCCUUACUUACUCUUACUGAAACCGUGAUACCAGAUACUAAUAGGUUUUCAAGAACCCAAAAAGUCGGAUCUUCUCUACUUGUCAUUCCAAGUUAUAGACUUUCUCAAACCAAACUCGUGUCUUCUUGAACCUUUUUACGACCGAAUAUUCGGUGUCGAGUACCGGACGUCGUAACUUCUUUCCACCUUCGGUGAACACUUCAUGGAUAUAGUAGAUUUGUAAAGUGCCCUACCAUACUUCGCAUACAACCACCAGGUUGGAUGCUAAAAGACAGAACUAAAUCUCUGUCAUUAACGUGGUUUCCAUGCUAAAGAUGUCCUAUAACCACACUCCUUACUACGUCAGCCGUUACACGAUCACUUCAAGGGGGGACAUGAUUGAAUAUCAGACAUGUCCUUCAAUGCGGGUCACCAAUAUAAGGACUCCUGUUUUCGACCUCAUUGUCUCCUACUGUAACCCUUCCAGUAACGCAACCUGGGCGUCGAGUACCCGACGUCGUAGCGUGUGUUUGACCUUCGGUCGCAGUUCAUGAAAGCCAGUGACCCGUAGAUGGUGAACCACGAGCCGGUCUACCAACGGCUGAAGGGCUGCGAAGAGGCUAUGUUACACCUACAAGAUGCAGGUUUUAUGGUCAUGGAGUCCGCACAGUACCAUGCCGGCGACUUUCUAGAAUAGCUCAAAGGGGCCAAAAAGUCAAUGAGAAACCUCGUAUCCUAUCUCGGAGCCGUGUUCCAAGACCACCGGUUGUCCUAUUUGUACUUCGACGCCAUGUACGACGGACCAAGGCUACUCCUCAAACGCGUCUCCCACGUUCUCCGGCAGCUCUCCUCUCGCUCUAAGCUUCGGCCUCUUCGAUGAGGCCUCUGUAGUCCACGCGGGCUUUGUGGGUCGCCGUUACCUUUACCGCAUCGUCGUCGUCGUCGUACAGUUCUCUACCUCCGUCUAAUUCCGUCAUGGAACGUUCUUUGUUCUUAAGGUACAGGAACUGAACAUGCAUGCAUGCACAUGUAUAAGGACAAGGUGCAAACACCAACCGACACGAGUGACACUCUCGGAUAAACUAGGAAACACUGAGGUUUCAGGAUUCGGUUUAGCUGCCACCUAAGACG
rnacentral:rRNA from 1 species